UGUGUGUGUGUGUGUGUGUUCCAGGUGUGGCUCUGCCUCCGUACGGAGCUGCAGCUUUCCCGCCAGCUUUCCACCAGCACACAGGUUUGUCGAUGGCGGCCGUCCCCGGCUCGUUGGUGUCCCCCCCCCCGCGUCUCGCUGCAGGUGGCGCCUCCUGCCGGUCACUCGGUGCUGCUGGUGUCCAACCUGAACCCAGAGAGCGUCUCUCCUCACUGUCUCUUCAUCCUGUUUGGUGAGAAAACGCUCUGAUAACAUUAAAGAUGUAGCCUUUUAUUUUCUGUCUGGUUAUAAUUAUAGCAGUAAAGAUUUUACAUGUUUACCUCG